GCCCCGUUAGCUCAGUUGGUAGAGCAGUUGCCUUUUAAGCAAACGGUCGUAGGUUCGAAUCCUACACGGGGCACAA
rnacentral:tRNA from 1 species